AGAGAAGGAGAAUGCGAGACAAAAAAGGACAAUAUUGAAAGAGAGAGACAGCGAGACAGAAACAAAGUGAUAAAGACUUGGAGAAGGUGAUUUACGUGGGAUAUUACCUUCCCAUGAGCUGACAAGAAAAAAGUGAACAAUGGCGAAUGAGACAAACAGCGAAGCAGCAAGUGUGAAGAGUGACAGCAAGUCAAGCAAAACAUGACAGGAAACACAGCAGCAAAAGGUACACCUUCUACCACUUUGUAAGGAUGGUCAGAUCCUUUUACGAUCCCAGACCCCGAGAACUGCUAUGCAACUUCAUGAGGCCAGACCCCGAGAACUGCCUUGCAACAAAACAAUAAACUUUGUAAUCUGAGGAGAGGAUCUCUUCAAUCUGAGGAGAGAAAGCCAUUUGUUUAGCUGCCUGCUCACCCAUCCUUGAGCCCCCUCUGUCCCUCCUGGGGAGAUGACCGGGUCAUGGAAAGGUGACAGAAGUUCCCGAAAUUCAAGCUACCAUACUUGCAUAAUGUAAUAAUUACAUUAUAGGAAUGUAUGCAUUUUUACCUCCACAUGUUUGGUAUCAUUUUAAAGGUCUAAGUGUGAUUGGAAAUAUGAUUGUUCUAUUAUUUGUUUUAGAUGUGACAUUUGUUUAUUGAUUAUUG